UGUAGCUAUACAUAUUAAGGACUUGUUAAUUCAAGUGGCAAAUGAUUCCUUAAUGAUCAAUAUCUGAAAUUUCAAGUUGGAAACUUAAUUAUUUCACUUUUCUAAUCAAGUUCAUUUUUCUAAAAGAAUAAGCGGAGUGGAUGUCAUGUUAUCUUUCUCUAAAAGAAAAAGCUUUAAAUUCAUGCUCCUUAAUCUUCCAAUCUAAAUCACCACACAUUUUUUUAAUUAAAAAUUAAAACAAUUAUCAUUUAUUGGUGAACUAACUAAAUUGCUUCAUACAAUACUCUAAUCU
rnacentral:lncRNA from 1 species